UCUUCAUUCCAGCCGUGCAACUCCAAGGAAAAACAAGACCAAGUUCUUCAUUUUUCCUUCAUCAAAUCUUCAUCAAACCUCUUCCAAUUCACUCCAAAUUCGAACUACACUUAACUAAACAUUUAGAGAUCCCAUUGAGCUAAGAAAAGGAGCUGCUAUUCACGGUUUUUCUUGUGCUAAGGAAGGCAAAAAAUUCUGACUUUGUUCACCACACAAGUAGGCACUCGAGGGAAUCUCCAAGAGGAACUCGGAGCGGACACCUAAACGCUUGUUUGAAAACUACUCUCUUGUUUUGACUAGGGUUCGAGACCAAUGGUGCUCGUGAGUAGUACUAGAUUGUUUU